rnacentral:rRNA from 1 species
GCACGUAGGGAGCGAGCGUUGUCCGGAAUUACUGGGUGUAAAGGGUGCGUAGGCGGGGCUGCAAGUUGGAUGUGAAAUACCGGGGCUUAACCCCGGGGCUGCAUCCAAAACUGUAGCUCUUGAGUGAAGUAGAGGCAGGCGGAAUUCCGAGUGUAGCGGUGAAAUGCGUAGAUAUUCGGAGGAACACCAGUGGCGAAGGCGGCCUGCUGGGCUUUUACUGACGCUGAGGCACGAAAGCAUGGGGAGCAAACAGGAUUAGAUACCCUGGUAGUCCAUGCCGUAAACGAUGAUUGCUAGGUGUGGGAGGACUGACCCCUUCCGUGCCGGAGUUAACACAAUAAGCAAUCCACCUGGGGAGUACGGCCGCAAGGCUAAA